rnacentral:tRNA from 1 species
GGGCGUGUGGCUCAGUGGUAGAGCGCCCGCUUUGCAUCUUCUGCAUGUUACGGCAUCCAGUUACUGAUGAUUUGCGGGAGGCCCAGGUUUCGAUCACCUGCUCGUCCA